CGCAUUUUUCCACCCUUGUUCGCUUCCUGUGGUGUCGUGAUGAUCACUUUUGUCAAAAUGUUGAUGCCUAAAUUCAAAUUCAGCCCACGGACCGUUGGAAUAGGCACCAUGUGCUUUUUGCUUCAGCACAGACUCUGGAUAUGAUUAUGCUUGUGCCAAAUGGGUGACCACACAUUCAUCUGAUUUCCUAAAACUAUCACUGUCUUGAAUAGAUUAUGCUUGUCAAAUGGGUGACCACACAUUCAUCUGACUUCAUUUCAUAAGACUAGCACUGUUUUUAAUAGAUCAUGUUUGUACCACGUGGGUAACCACAUUCUGAAACGGGACACAUGAUUGAUGAAAGAGGACCUUGAACAAGUGACCCUUGAUGGUUGGCCACAUGUGAAGGGGAUUGAGGUGUCAAUUUGAAGCCCUCUCGGUGUGGAGAAGCAAGUGGAUUCAAAAUGGCUCCUGCUGUUCCAGCCAGACCAACUGAUGUUUCCACAUCCUGUUCAGUACUUUUUAAAGUGUCAAUGUACAAUAUUUUGUGAAAUUUGAGUUUCAAAAAGCUUAAUUUCAACAACCACAAGCAGCUACAUUAAACGUUUGGCUGGAAGUGCA